rnacentral:rRNA from 1 species
AGGACGAACGCUGGCGGCGUGCUUAACACAUGCAAGUGGAGCGACGAACCGGGGCUUGCCCCGGGGCAGAGCCGCGAACGGGUGAGUAACACGUGGGUUACCUGCCCCAAUGACCGGGACAACCCCGGGAAACCGGGGCUAAUACCAGAUGUGCUCACGUCUCGUGAGGGACGUGAGGAAAGGAGCUUCGGCCUCCGCAUCGGGAUGGGCCCGCGGCGCAUUAGCUUGUUGGUGAGGUAACGGCUCACCAAGGCUUCGAUGCGUAGCUGGUCUGAGAGGACGAUCAGCCACACUGGGACUGAGACACGGCCCAGACUCCUACGGGAGGCAGCAGUGGGGAAUCUUGCGCAAUGCGCGAAAGCGUGACGCAGCAACGCCGCGUGCGGGAGACGGCCUUCGGUGUAAACCGCUUCAGUUGGACGAAGCUUGCCGUUAAUAGCGGUUGAGUGACGUACCUCACAGAAGCCCGCUAACUACGUGCCAGCAGCCGACGUAA